rnacentral:lncRNA from 1 species
CUUGCGUAUCUAAAAACAAUUGCUUGAGGAGAAUGAACCUACAUCUAACUUUUGUAUCUUGUCUUGUAUAUAAAAUUUUGGUAUUUAUUUAGGGAAGUUUAAAAUCUUAUAUAGGAGAAAAUCUAAGAAACGUUGGGAUAUAAAAUCUUCUAAGGCUUGAGAGGUUUGUCGUAUAGUGAUUUCUCCUUUCGUUUCAUCGUGUUUCAUAAUCGGUUUAUCCUGCCUAUUUCAAUUUGUCCUUGCUUGCUUCAUUCUCCUUGUGUUUAUUCAUAUUGCAUAUCGCUCCCUCCAGCCAAUCUAUCUCACAUUUCUCGCUAUUGAGCCCCUCGAGUGUCUUGGAUGUCUCUCACUGUGUUCAAAAGCAAGGCAUCAGAUGUUAGAGUUGUUGGCAAUAGAGAAGCAAAAGAGCAAUAUCCUCUAAUGAUGUUUUUUUUCCUUCCAACGGAGCCGUGACGUUACAAAAUUUACCAUGCUAGAUCGGUCUCCACCUCAACCACCACCUCUAAAUUUGACGCCUAUAAUUUAACCACAACUGCAUGGAGGAUCUCUAAGCACCCUCUUAAGAAGUCAUUGUAGAAACUUUGUGUUUUGAUCACUCCAUCACUUUUUGGUUUGAGAUCUAAUAAUUGUGUUGAAGUUUUUAUGAUUUUGUUCUUUUGCCUCUUUGUUUGUGUGCUAUUGUUUAUUUUUAAUUUGCUUCAAGUUUAUAUUUCAUGUGGUUGCUCAAAUGUCUGAGAGUGAUUGGAAAUUUGUGGGUAUCAUAUUUCUAAUAAGAGGUUUAUUGUGCCUAACACGGAAUUCAACAUUAUCCCAAGCUUACAGAUGACUUGCCAACAUGUGUGUUUGAAUUGGUUAUUUCAAAGACCACCAAUAAUCAAAACGAGCGAACACCAACAACAAUCUUUUCUAGAGAUGGAUGCAAUUAAAGACUGUAGAUCUUUUAUCACUCUUAAUCAUUGACCACAUGUGGAAGGAUUCAAUUUGAUUAUUAGGAUUAAGAGUUUGGUUUGUUAGUUCAUUUUGGCUUCUGAAAUUUUUAUAUGUAUUGGUAGCAUGUUUUUGGCUUUAAGAAUGUUGUUGGGGGCAUGUCCCAACUCAUAUCCAAUUUGAUUGUACUCUCGUUAUUUUAGCAUUUUAAUUAAGUUUGUUUUAUCGUAAAGAAAAAAUUCAAAAUCUUAAACUAUAUUUUUGUAAGAUUAAACUAUUUUUCUAUUAAAACACAAAUUGCAUACUUGUUU